rnacentral:lncRNA from 1 species
UUUUCUUCAUGGGGCGGAUUUGGGAUGGGAGAUGCCCCAUCCUGCCCCGCUUCGAAUGGGGCAAAAAAAUCGGCCCCAAACGAAUUGACGGGACGAGUUUUUUGGCUAUCGUCACAUGAUUGUGUCCAGUCCAUUGUAGCUUAGCAGCCAUAGAUUCCUUCCAACACCUUGGACUUUUCAAACCCUGGAUUUCAGUCGGUUGAAGUAGCUUUAUUCAUAAAUGCCACGGCCUCAUCUUUCUCAUCAUCAUCUUCUCUGUGUAAGUUCUCUUUCACAGAGUCACACAGUGAAUUGGACUUUUCUGGGUGAUCACUUGCAGGUAAAAUAUUGACAGUAAAUACUUGAUUACUUCCGUUCUUAUUUGAUCAUAUCUCUAUUAUAUACGUAUUAUGAAUUAUGACUAGGAAAAUUAUAUACGUAUUAUGAAUUAUGACUAGGAAAAAUUUAUUCUUCAAUUAUUCUCAAUUAGUAUUCUGUUAAAUUCAUUUUUUUGGGUCUCUUGUAAUUCUAGCUUACCCCUCUCCGUCUCUUAACCAUACACACACUGGGAAAUUCUAAGAACUAGAUAAAGUUUAUCAUCUUUGUAUAAAUUUGACUGCAUAUUUGUAUUUUUGCAUCUGAACAUAACUAUGUUUAACUUCAAAAUUUAGCAAAGGAAUCUCUGAGAAUGUAAAAUGCAUAUUCUGCUUUAAUUUUUCCUGGGUUUUUUCUGAUUUUUGUUAAGCUCCUCUGUAUACACUAAUAUUAGCCAUCUGAUCAAAAUCGCUCUAAGCGGGUCAAAACGUAGAUCACUCCUAUAAGUAAUCUUAAUGAUUGGGUUUACAAUUCACCAGAACUUGGGGUUCAUAUGUUAUGCCUGCGUCAUAUGCCCUUAUGGAAUUUGACUUCAGUGCAAUUAACCUUUUUUCCUGCUAAAAUCUGAAUGCGUUGUGUGAUAAGCCCAUGAGUUUUUUUUGAGUGACAUAUUAAUGAUGAAUUAAAUACUGAGUAAUUCAUUCAACUUGUGAAAUCUUAUGGUAGAACAAAGUGGUUGAAUUUAUUAAGGAUUUGUUCGAUAUUGAUUUUGAGAAUUGAUUUUUUGAUCGUCAAAUAGAAAAGUGAGUCCUAUCUGUGAGAGGAGAAGUCAAAAAUAACGGUUAGAAUAAUGAAAUAACGGUCAAAAAAUUGAUUUUUUUGGGUAGAAAAAUCACUACCAAACAUGCACUAAAAUCCUCUGAUAAAUCAGAUUCGCUUCUUCAUUAACAUUGUUACUGCUUUAGUUUUUGGAACUGGUAAUUUUAACU